UCCUUACUAUUCAAGGCUUAAGGACUAAGUUAACUUAGCCCUCAAGUUUGCUUAGCCCUUAAGUUUCGUAGUUUCGUCUUUCGUGUAAAAACUCAAAACCAUAAUAAGACUCGUAUGUAUAAAAUCCCGUUAUAUAAAUAAAAAUUUCUCCGUUCUGAAUGUGUUAUGUGUUAAUAUAUACUUUGUUUAACAAAUUUGACCAAAUAAAUUUUUGUCCGAAAAACGUCGUGCUUCACACCUCGUGCUUAAUUUUUUUUUUCCAUAAUCAGACUUUUUGGCAUAAUUAUUUUUACAAGUUGCUUUGUCAUGCUUACACUGACAAAACGCUUUGUCGUGCUUGUUAGGAUUAGUGAGAAAUUUAGGUUAACAACCCUAGAUUAACAAACCCUAACCCUAAUUAGAAAAACCCUAACCCUAAUUAGUAAAUCUAACCCUAAUUAGCUAAACUAACCCUAAUUAGCUUAUGUUAACACCUAAUCAUGGUUAGUAAACUUCAAUUAGGUAUUAAUAAACAUCAUUUAACAUUCCUAAUCAUUAAAAACAAAACCUUAAUCCAGAUUAGUGAAGAUUUGGACAAAACUACGCUACUAAACAAACCUAACUAGCUUACAAGUAGGUUAAGAGUCACCCAACCAAGUUCCAAGGCAGCACAUAAGCUGAUAACAAACCCUAAACAGCACAAGUAACUUUGCAUCAGAUAUUUGUAGAGGCAAGUUGCUCAAAAAUGACCAAAAAGCCAAGUUGAAGAAUUUUAUAAGUAAGAACCUUAGAGCUAAGCAAACUCACGAAAUUUCUAAGCCUAUAUACACUUAUAAACUUACCAAAUCAAUCCUGAGUGUUAGCAGCAACAACAUCAAAAGCUAGAAUCAAAAAUCAUUCAAGAAAAGGUACAAACCCUAGUUCAUAAUUAACUCUUUGAUCCUAUGUUAGUUUUGUUGUUUAGAUGUUUAGAAUUAUGUAUUAGUAUGUUAGAAAGUAUGUUAGAUUGGUAGAACAUGUUUUCAUAACAUCUAGAUGCCUUAAUUAAGUGUUUUAAGAAAUCUGGAAAUUUUGAAAACUAAGUCUGACAGCCGAAUGUCAGGGCCUAUAGAUUCAUAUGUGGUUAUGUUUUGGUCUGUUAAUUGUUUGGUAUUUGUAGCCUGUUAGUAGGUCUUUAAUCUGGAAAAGAAAACAGGUUCAUUUGAACCAUAGAUUUCAAGUUAUAAGUAGUCAAAAUGGGUUGACCGUUCACGGAUUGCAGUUUUCUGGGUUACCUAGAAAACUCAAGAACAGUCGAAUUGGCUACUUUGACCAACCUUUUUAAUCACUUUCUGUUUGUUAUUUUUGUAAUGUUUUGUUAUAGAUCAAUACCCUGUUAUAUGAACUACAUAUCUAUGAUCUCAAACUGCUAAAACAACUAAUAGGAUUACUGGAAUUAAUGGUCAAAAGUCGUUGACCAAGCUUGACCAACCCAAAAAACUGAAGAACACGAAGAACAACGUUUGGCUGUAUUUUGACCAGCAUAAUUAGAGACCUUAGAGUUAUGCUUUGUUCAUGUUAAUGUUAUACAUAUGUACCUUGACAUAUAUAUUACAUGUUACAACAAACACCACACACAUCUAAUACACAGAAUCAAAGAUAUUCAAGUCACAAAACCGUUGACCGGCCAUGACUACUGUUCUGGGUUACCCAGAAACUCACGAACAGCUUUGACAGUGACUUUGAGCCUCUAUAACUUCUUGUUAUAUGUAGGUUAAAGCCUAAAUUUUGAUUUAUGUUGUACUACUGUAUGAGUACUACAACAUCAACUCUUGAACAAACAAAAAAUCAUUAACAGUAGCAUUUUAUCUAGUGGUCAAACUGGUCACUCGACCAUGACCAAACUGUUGCCCAGAAACUCAAGAACACCUACAGCGGCACUUUUUGUCACUGAAGGGCUUUAGCGACAGACAGAAAUUGAUUUUUCUAAAAAUAAAUUAUAAAAAUUAGAAAUAAUUAAUAAAUAAAUAUAAAAACAGUUUUAAAAAUUAUAUUAAAUAAAUAUAAUUAAAUUUUGAUAUUUUUACAUAAAUUCAAUAAUUAUUUAUUUUAUUUAGAUAUUAUUAAU
rnacentral:lncRNA from 1 species